GUAACGAAUCUUCCGCAAUGGACGAAAGUCUGACGGAGCAAUGCCGCGUGUGGGAUGAAGCAUCUUCGAUGUGUAAACCACUGUCAGGGUUUAGGAACAAUGACCAGACCCAAAGGAAGGGCCGGCUAAUUCUGUGCCAGCAGCCGCGGUAAUACAGAAGGCCCGAGCGUUAAUCGGAAUCACUGGGCUUAAAGCGUACGCAGGCGGACCUGAAGGCAUCGUGUGAAAUCCCGCGGCUCAACCGCGGAACUGCACGGUGAACCACAGGUCUUGAGGCAGGUAGGGGUCAGUGGAACCAUGAGUGGAGCGGUGAAAUGCGUAGAUAUUCAUGGGAACGCCAAUGGCGAAGGCAGCUGACUGGGCCUGUUCUGACGCUCAUGUACGAAAGCGUGGGGAGCAAACAGGAUUAGAUACCCUAGUAGUCC
rnacentral:rRNA from 1 species